AAUGAACGCUGGCGGCAGGCCUAACACAUGCAAGUCGAGCGGAGCGGCGGACGGGUGAGGAAUGACUAGGAAUCUGCAUGGUAGUGGGGGAUAACGUCCGGGAACGGGCGAUAAUACCGCAUACUAUAAGAGGAGCCUAGGUCGGAGGAGCUAGUUGGGGGGGUAGAGGCGUACCAAGGCGACGAUCCGGAACUGGUCUGAGAGGGUGAUCCGUCACACUGCGACCGAGACACGGUCCAGCAGCCUAAGGGAGGCAGCAGUGGGGCAUAGUGGACAAUGGGCGAAAGCCUGAACCCGCCAUGCCGCGUGUGUGAAGAAGGUUUUCGGAUUGUAAAGUUCUAUAAGUUGGGAGGCGUUACCUACAGAAUAAGCGCCGGCUAACUACGUGCCAGCCGCCGCGGUAAUUC
rnacentral:rRNA from 1 species